rnacentral:rRNA from 1 species
UACGGAAGGCAGCAGUGGGGAAUAUUGCACAAUGGGCGCAAGUCUGAUGCAGCCAUGCCGCGUGUAUGAAGAAGGCCUUCGGGUUGUAAAGUACUUUCAGUCGUGAGGAAGGUGUUAAGGUUAAUAACCUUAGCAAUUGACGUUAGCGACAGAAGAAGCACCGGCUAACUCCGUGCCAGCAGCCGCGGUAAUACGGAGGGUGCGAGCGUUAAUCGGAAUUACUGGGCGUAAAGGGCACGCAGGCGGUUAAUUAAGUUGGAUGUGAAAUCCCCGGGCUUAACCUGGGAAUGGCAUUCAAGACUGGUUAGCUAGAGUCUUGUAGAGGGGGUAGAAUUCCAUGUGUAGCGGUGAAAUGCGUAGAGAUGUGGAGGAAUACCGGUGGCGAAGGCGGCCCCUGGACAAAGGCUGACGCUCAUGUGCGAAAGCGUGGGGAGCAAAC